GUGUGCAGUUGUAAUCAUCUGAGCUUUUUUGCAGUGCUCAUUAAUCCUGAAAUUCCUGAAGAGUCCCAUAUUGUCCCCCUCAACUACAUUUCAUACAUCGGCUCUGCCCUUACAUAGCAUUUACAGCCCUAAUGAUUAUUAUGUUUCUGUGCCUGAGGAAGAAGCAAUGUGAUCAUUCAGCCAUCAUUCACAUGCAGCU